rnacentral:piRNA from 1 species
UAACAAAUACUAUCUCUUUUCCCAUUGUAG